UGUAAUCAAGGUAAUAAGGGGCACCUGUUGACAGGUGCGACGGCGUAUUUUUUCUCUUUUGACUCCAUGUCGCCAGGUACGCGGCGUGUAGUGGCGUUGUUUCAAGAGAAAUAAUAUUUAAGUGUCGCGGACUCCCGUGGAACGAUCAUGAAAAGAUUGUUUUCCUCGCGAGUGGGCGAAAUAUUUUGUUGCACCGCCGCGAGGAAGCCCAGCGGUAUGGAGGCAUCAUUCCACAACGGUGUGUUCUGAAACUGCGGGUUAUCAGCUGCUGCUGAAGACCUUCCAGAUUGAAAAAGUCUUGUGUCAUUUCCUACAUGAUGAUUCCAGGGAUUGUGUGGUCCUGAUAAAGGAGAGCUGAGUCAGUGACCCAGACUGACAGAGAAAGGUCCGGUGGGAGCCAGUGCUCUACUCACUGCACAACAGAUGGUUUUCACAAUGAAGAGAAAUCAAACCCUGACCUUGCAAGAGUUUCGGGGCAUUCCAUUUAUUUUCUAGUCCAUUCAAAGACGGAAUACACUGACAGAUGGUGCUGGCUGACAGAUUUGUCCAACACUUGAGAUUUCUUUAUUUUAAGGUUAAGGAUAAGUGUUGCUGCCAUAACAUAAUCAUACAUUGGAUGUUAGGAUCUCCGUUCGAACAGCCAGACUAUUUAGUUAUGAAUUCGAUUUCAUAUGUCUGAUGUUUUGUAUUCAUUUUUUUCUGUGUGCUUGUUUUCAAGUUUUUAUCCUUUUUUUUUUUUUUUAUCGUUUUUAUCCUUUGAUAGGACACAAUUAACA